rnacentral:rRNA from 1 species
GAGGAAUAUUGGUCAAUGGACGAGAGUCUGAACCAGCCAAGUAGCGUGAAGGAUGAAGGUCCUACGGAUUGUAAACUUCUUUUAUAAGGGAAUAAACUCUCCCACGUGUGGGAGCUUGUAUGUACCUUAUGAAUAAGCAUCGGCUAACUCCGUGCCAGCAGCCGCGGUAAUACGGAGGAUGCGAGCGUUAUCCGGAUUUAUUGGGUUUAAAGGGAGCGCAGACGGGUCGUUAAGUCAGCUGUGAAAGUUUGGGGCUCAACCUUAAAAUUGCAGUUGAUACUGGCGUCCUUGAGUGCGGUUGAGGUGUGCGGAAUUCGUGGUGUAGCGGUGAAAUGCUUAGAUAUCACGAAGAACUCCGAUUGCGAAGGCAGCACACUAAUCCGUAACUGACGUUCAUGCUCGAAAGUGUGGGUAUCAAAC